AUACUUGACCUGGCGAGGAGACACGGUGAUCACGGGAGGUGGUUUUCCCAGGGAGGCUGACCCCUGCGAUGUCCACAAAUGUGGGAAAUGCUGUGCAGUUUGUGGUAGUGCGGGCCGUGUGUGCGCUCUCCUGGG
rnacentral:snRNA from 12 species